rnacentral:rRNA from 1 species
UAUGAAGGGGGCUAGCGUUGCUCGGAAUUACUGGGCGUAAAGGGCGCGUAGGCGGACAGUUUGGUCAGAGGUUAAAGCCCAGGGCUCAACCUUGGAAUCGCCUUUGAUACUGGCUGUCUUGAGUACGGGAGAGGUGUGUGCAACUCCGAGUGUAGAGGUGAAAUUCGUAGAUAUUCGGAAGAACACCAGUGGCGAAGGCGACACACUGGCCCGUUACUGACGCUGAGGCGCGAAAGCGUGGGGAGCAAACAGG